UAUUCUACAUAUACCCAGGGUUUACAGAAAAACAGAUUCUUAAACCUUAAAAAGAUAACUCCUCCAUUAUUCCCAACACACACACACACACACACACUCACACACACACACACACUCCAUAGUGUGUAGAAGGUAGACUAAGCCACGGGGAGGUGGAGCUUUCCACUACAAAGUUGAGUGACAACACUUAGGAGUGGCUGCUGCUAACUCUAUCUCAUGAAACCAAUGGGUGACAGAAACAAAACUAGUCCCAAAUUCGAGAUAUGAUGCAUACCAAUAUUUAGAAAGACUUGACGUCAAGCUGUGUCCUUACAGCAAAAUAGUAGGGCUCAUGAAGACACAAAUAGGAGUUUUACUGGCCCUGCUAUGGAUACAAAUUUUCUGGGUGGGAGCGCAGAUGAAGGUGGAGCAGAGUCCUGGGGUCCUUAUCCUCCAGGAGGGGAGAAAUUCCUCUCUGAUGUGCAAUUGUUCUACCACCAUGACCGGUGUGCAGUGGUUCUAACAAAAUCCUGGAGGAUGCCUCAUAUCCUUGAUUUACAUAGCUUCUGGAGUGCAGCAUAAAGGAAGAUUAAUAUUCACAGUCAAUACUAAGGAACGUUACAGCCACCUCUACAUCAGAGACUCUCAGCGUGGGGACUCAGCCACUUACUUCUGUGCGGUGGAGCACAGUGCUGUCUAGACACCUGCAGCCUGUACAGAAACCAGAGCUGAAGACCUAACCCAACCCCCAGAGUGAGAGCAGUGGCCCAGGGUAAUUAGAAUUGUAUUCCCAUUGCCUUGCAUCUCCUGACUCAUGCAGAAGGCAUUUCUAAAUGAGCUACAAAUUGACACUACAAUGCAGGCACAGACAGGUUCAUCUGGAGAUCUCUGUGGGGAUAGUAUUACUAGGUAAAAUCUAUAGAUCGAAAGGCUCUUUCCUAUCCAAUUCUGUCUUUCUAAAUGGAAUGAGCAGACAAAUCAAUAUGGAGCAGAGUCCUUGAGGCCUCCAUCUCCGAGAGCAAGAAAGCCCCAAUCUCACCCGUACUUUCUUCUCAACAUCCUUAAAGCUUAUCUUGGUACAGACAGAAUCCUUGGAAAAGCUCCAUGAUGCUUGCUCUAAUACACUUAAAUGGGGAAGGAAGGGAGGAGAAAAGAUACAGGGCAACUAUUAGCAUGAAACAUGGGCAGAGCUUUUGGCAUACCAGACCAAAGAC
rnacentral:lncRNA from 1 species